rnacentral:rRNA from 1 species
CGUGUAGGCGGCCUUGUAAGUCUGGUGUGAAAGCCCGGGGCUCACCCCCGGAAGUGCACUGGAUACUGCAAGGCUUGAGUACCGGAGAGGAAAGUGGAAUUCCUGGUGUAGCGGUGAAAUGCGUAGAUAUCAGGAGGAACACCGGUGGCGAAGGCGGCUUUCUGGACGGAUACUGACGCUGAGACGCGAAAGCGUGGGGAAGCAAACAG